CCUACGGGUUGCAGCAGUGGGGGAUAUUGCACAAUGGGGGAAACCCUGAUGCCGCGACGCCGCGUGAGUGAAGAAGUAUUUCGGUAUGUAAAGCUCUAUCAGCAGGGAAGAAAAAAGACGGUACCUGACUAAGAAGCCCCGGCUAACAACGUGCCAGCAGCCGCGGGAAUACGUAGGGGGCAAGCGUUAUCCGGAUUUACUGGGUGAAAAGGGAGCGUAGACGGCAAUACAAGGCGGAAGUGAAAUCACCGGGGUCAACCUUGGAACUGCUUUGGAAAUUGUAUGGCUUGAGUGCUGGAGAGGUAAGCGGAAUGCCUAGUGUAGCGGUGAAAUGCGUAGAUAUUAGGAGGAACACCGGUGGCGAAGGCGGCUUACUGGCCAGUAACUGACGUUGAGGCUCGAAAGCGUGGGUAGCAAACAGGAUUAGAUACCCCUGUAGUC
rnacentral:rRNA from 1 species